rnacentral:rRNA from 1 species
CCCUUAGAUGUUCUGGGCCGCACGCGCGCUACACUGAUGCAUUCAACGAGCCUAUCCUUGACCGACAGGUCCGGGUAAUCUUUGAAUCUGCAUCGUGACGGGGAUAGAUUAUUGCAAUUAUUAAUCUUCAACGAGGAAUGCCUAGUAGGCGCUAGUCAUCAGCUUGCGUCGAUUACGUCCCUGCCCUUUGUACACACCGCCCGUCGCUCCUACCGAUUGGGUGUGCUGGUGAAAUGUUCGGAUCGGCCGUUUGUCGCGGUUUCCGCGUCAUGUGGCUGAGAAGUUCAUUAAACCCUCCCACCUAGAGGAAGGAGAAGUCGUAACA